GGAUCUCCCCCUCUCAACAGACUUCUCAGCCAUCUUAGAGAAGCAAGGAACUGACCAGGAACAUCUUUAGUGAGGCUCAAGCAAUGGUACCUGAUACAUUAUCCCAAAGGUGCAUCAGUACCUAUCAAAAACAAGAAAAUGAAUAUCCUGCAUCACACUUGAUGCACACAAUCUCACAAUUCAAUCAUAAUCAUCUUAAGUAUCUUUUCAAGCACAAGCAAUGAAUAAGAUGAAUGAAAAAGAUUGAAAAGAGGAUUAAAAGUCUAAGGGAACUUCCCUUGUGUUUUU
rnacentral:lncRNA from 1 species